rnacentral:lncRNA from 1 species
GCAUUGCAUAAGAGACUGGGAGUGAGUGGAUGAGCAAACCCACGUGUGGCCAUGCCCUUCCAGUGGUCUGAUGAGGCAACAAAGUCAACAUAAGUGAAUGGCAGGUGUCUACAGAAGAAGCCCAAGCUUGUUGCAGGGACAACGGCAAC